rnacentral:rRNA from 1 species
GGUGGCCUCGAUCCGGUAGG